rnacentral:rRNA from 1 species
AACGAACGCUGGCGGCGUGCUUAACACAUGCAAGUCGAACGGAAAGGCCCUGCUUUUGUGGGGUGCUCGAGUGGCGAACGGGUGAGUAACACGUGGGUAACCUGCCCUUGCCUUUGGGGUAACUUCAGGCAACUGGGGCUAAUCCCGGAUAGGAGCUCCUGCUGCAUGGUGGGGGUUGGAAAGUUUCGGCGGUUGGGGGUGGACUCGCGGCUUAUCAGCUUGUUGGUUGGGUAGUGGCUUACCAAGGCUUUGACGGGUAGCCGGCCUGAGAGGGUGACCGGCCACACUGGGACUGAGAUACGGCCCAGACUCCUACGGGAGGCAGCAGUGGGGAAUAGUGCACAAUGGGCGGAAGCCUGAUGCAGCAACGCCGCGUGCGGGAUGACGGCCUUCGGGUUGUAAACCGCUUUCGCCUGUGACGAAGCGUGAGUGACGGUAAUGGGUAAAGAAGCACCGGCUAACUACGUG